AGUGACAGAGUUAGGGAGGGAAGGGGUGACUAGUGACAGAGUGAGGAAGGGGGUGAAAAGUGACAGAGGGAGGGGUGACUAGGGACAGAGUGAGGGAGGUAGUGACUAGUGACUAGUGACAGUCACCACCUCCCUCACUCUGUCACUAGUCACCACCUCCCUCACUCUGUCACUGGUCACCCACUCCCUCCCUCACUCCCUCUGUCACUGGUCACCCACUCCCUCCCUCACUCUGUCACAAGUCAUCCCCUCACUCUGUCACUAGAAACCCAUUCCUUCCCUCACUCUGUCACCUGUCACCCCCCUUACUCUGUCA